UCUCCCAUGGAGAGGCGACGUUGUCAGGGGGGCGAUCAGAGGGUGCGACAAUGGCUGAGGGCAAAGGUCGAGCACGAAUCCCCCACCCGAGCGGUGGCUCCCAGCGCUCGGUCCCCGGCACCUCGAACGGGACGCUGGCCGGAGCGGGAGGCCCGCAGCGCGGCAGGAGGAACUCGGCCGUUUCGGAUUGUACCAUGACUGAGGAUGAGGAGCUGGCCGACGGCGGCAUCCCAUAUGGGGCCCGGGAUGAUGACCCGAACCGCCGGCGGAUGCUGAGGCACCAGUACCGGGAGCUCAUCAACAGCGUCCAGCAGAAUCGAGAGGAUAUGAUCAGACCCAACAGUAAUAAAUUAACAGAAGCACUUGAGGAAGCUAACAAACUGUUUUCCAAUGUCCGACAGACACGUGAAGCAGCCUUGGAUGCACAGUUUUUAGUGCUUGCGACAAACCUGGGCCAAGAAAAAGCUAAUCAGUUACACACAGAUAUGAUGGUUUUUGACCCAUCAGUCUUUGCAGAGGAACUGUUAACGUUCAUGGGCUUGAACCGAUUGGAAACUGAAGGGAGUGAUGAUGAUGAUGAAUCUGCAGGGUGGCUUCCUAAAGAUGCCUGGACCAAACUUGGAAAUGAAACAGAAAAAUAUUUUAAAAGAGCUCCAGCCUUUCAUUUUAUGCUGGGGUCUUUCAAGAGUGAACCUCCAGUUCCACGACAGAGAAUUGAGAGACAGAAGAGGGUCCCGAUGAAGGAAGAACACAGAAUAAUGCCUACACAGCUGAAGAAAAUGGAUGAAUCUCACCAAGAAGCCACUGAAAAGGAAGUCGAGAGGAUCUUGGGACUAUUGCAGGAGUACUUCAAAUCUGACCCUGAAACACCGAUAAAUUUCUUUGACUUUGUAAUUGAUCCACAUUCUUACGCACGGACUGUGGAGAACAUAUUCCAUGUCUCCUUCAUUGUGAGGGAUGGUUUUGCUGCCAUUGGACUUGACCAAGACAAACUACCAAUCAUUGAGCCAGUGAAUGAAGGUGUGGAUAAUGAAAGGCCGCAACAACAAAGGCAGCAGACAGUUAUUUCUUUGAGUCAACAGGAAUGGAAGGAAAUAAUUGAUACAUUUGAAAUAGCAGAUGCGAUGAUACCACCAUCCACCCAAGGAGACUGAUUAAAUUAUUUGAUAUAUUUAACGGGUUGGAGCAGGUGAAGCUGGAUAGAUGGGGUCAAAGGAGAGAUUGACAAAGAUGACAUGGACAAAGGGGUGUUAAUCGUAGUGAUACUGGCUAAAGGAGGCGCUGAUGGUGGUAUUAAGGUACCUUAUCUAAAAUCUCUACAAUAGAAAAUGUAAUCUUGGAGAAGUGAGGAUUAUCUUGUACAUAUGGCUAAGGAAGUUUAUACAGCAAUAUAAUAAAUGUUACUGCCUUUAUUUGUGUAUUCUUUCAGUUCUGUUAUUGAAAAUUAAAGUUACUUUUUACCUAGAA